rnacentral:lncRNA from 1 species
AACGAUCUGAACCCCGGCAGAUGUGAUAGACCUGUGUCCCGGAAUCCCGGAACUGAACCCAGGAAGGGUGUAGACUCUCAAAGAAGACGAUCCAGUGCAUGCUUGGUGCCAUGUGUUGAAAGGACAAAUGUUACAGCAAAGUGCAAAGCAUUCUCUAAUGCUGAUGUUUGGAUGACAGUCAACAAACAGACAUGACUUUCAGCUCUCCCUCCAUGGAACUCCGGUUUUCUGUAUCGGAAAAUUACUUGUAACCCAAGAUCUGAGCAUUGGUUUCAUUUGUCAUUCUGCUCCAAUGCUACCAUACAACAUGGGCGCUCAUCAGCUGUCCUGUAGCUUUCUGUGGCUCAGACCUUUUAAUUCCAGCGCGCUGGAAGCCAGACAGCAGGAUUACCAUGAGUUCCCUGGUCUAUAAGAUUAACUGGAAAGGGGCAUCGCUAUUCCUGAUUUGAAGAGCUUUGGAGUACAUAUGCAGACCAGGAAGAGUUGGUUGGAAUUUUCUGUAAAUAUCCGAGUCUGAGCUAACUAUGGAUCUUCUCGUAAGGUACCUCAGAGAAGUGCAUGAGUUCAGAUAAGUAGAACAUCCACUGGAUGCUCAGAGUCCACUCAUGCCCACAUCUGCGGAAGGAAGGAUGCUCCAAGUCCACAUCUGUGGAAAGCACCAUGCGUUGGAAGCCUGGCAGCAUCCAGAUGAUUCUGUCAUCCUGCAGCUACUUGAGUUCUGCUGCCAGACCCCAGGAGCUCUGAUUGUACCUGUAACACCACCCAGCUCUGUCACAGGUUCCUGCAAAGUGGCACAAAGGGCCAGCUCCUGCCAAAUGAGCAUGCACAUGCUGUGGGAUAUUUCUCUUACCUGU